rnacentral:rRNA from 1 species
GAUGAACGCUAGCGGCAGGCUUAAUACAUGCAAGUCGUGGGGCAGCAGGUUUGUAGCAAUACAGAUGCUGGCGACCGGCAAACGGGUGCGGAACACGUACAGAACCUUCCUUUGAGCGGGGAAUAGCCCAGAGAAAUUUGGAUUAAUACCCCAUAGUAUAAUGAAGUGGCAUCACUUUAUUAUUAAAGAUUUAUCACUCGAAGAUGGCUGUGCGGCUGAUUAGGUAGUUGGCGGGGUAAAGGCCCACCAAGCCUGCGAUCAGUAACUGGUGUGAGAGCACGACCAGUCACACGGGCACUGAGACACGGGCCCGACUCCUACGGGAGGCAGCAGUAAGGAAUAUUGGUCAAUGG